rnacentral:rRNA from 1 species
GAUGAACGCUGGCGGCGUGCUUAACACAUGCAAGUCGAACGAGAAGUGGAGACGGAAACCUUCGGGCGGAAGACUUUAUUUCGAGUGGCGGACGGGUGAGUAACGCGUGGGUAACCUGCCUCAUACAGGGGGAUAACAGUUGGAAACGACUGUUAAUACCGCAUAAGACCACAGCACCGCAUGGUGCGGGGGUAAAAACUCCGGUGGUAUGAGAUGGACCCGCGUUCGAUUAGCCAGUUGGCGGGGUAACGGCCCACCAAAGCGACGAUCGAUAGCCGAUCUGAGAGGAUGACCGGCCACAUUGGGACUGAGACACGGCCCAAACUCCUACGGGAGGCAGCAGUGGGGAAUAUUGCACAAUGGGGGAAACCCUGAUGCAGCGACGCCGCGUGAGUGAAGAAGUAUUUCGGUAUGUAAAGCUCUAUCAGCAGGGAAGAAAAUGACGGUACCUGAGUAAGAAGCCCCGGCUAACUACGUGCCAGCAGCCGCGGUAAUACGUAGGGGGCAAGCGUUAUCCGGAUUUACUGGGUGUAAAGGGAGCGCAGACGGCUCUGCAAGUCUGAAGUGAAAGCCCGCGGCUUAACCGCGGGACUGCUUUGGAAACUGCAAGGCUUGAGUAUCGGAGGGGCAGGCGGAAUUCCUAGUGUAGCGGUGAAAUGCGUAGAUAUUAGGAAGAACACCGGUGGCGAAGGCGGCCUGCUGGACGAAAACUGACGUUGAGGCUCGAAGGCGUGGGGAGCAAACAGG